CCAGUAAAAGGACAUUUUUUAAAAUAACUUUGCUUGGAUAAGUAAAGAGAAAACGAUUUUCAGUGCCCCAUGCAAUUGGGUUCUGACCCGGAGUCUUGGUCAUAGAACUAUUAAGCUCUACUAGGCAGCUUUGCGGCAGCAGUGCGUCAGACCUGACAUUGACGGGGUCCACUGAAAAUAGUUGAUACUUUACUUGGAUAAGUGGAGUCGCGAGUUCAAAAUGUGCACUUUAAUAUUGAGCUGGAUUCUCAAUCUUGUUGUUAGUCAUGCCCAUAUAACACCUUACUGACUAGACACUGGAAAAAGAUUCAUAAAAAAGUUUUUGUGAAGUCCACGGAAGCAUCUAAAUUAUGACGAUCAAAUACUGGCAUCAUUGGAAAGGAACAAAGAUAGAAUAUUAAUGGUGGGUCCCGAACAAGACUAGUUUAUCAACCAACUGGCAUUACAAAGUGGGUCCCGGACAGGACUAGUUUAUCAACCAACUGGCAUCACAAAGACAUACCAAAGCCGUUAGGGAUAUAAAUUGACUCUCAAUGUUUUAACUAUUAAAAGGACAUUUUUUAAAAUAACUAUAUUAAAUAUGAGUUUUUUGAAUAUAAAUUAUUAAAAAUAGCUAAUACUUUGCUUGGAUAAGUAAAAAGAAAACGAUUUCCAGUCACCUAUGCAAUUGGGUUCUGACCCGGAGUCUUGGUCAUAGAACUAUUAAGCUCUACUAGGCAGCUUUGCGGCAGCAGCGCGUCAAACCUGACAUUGAAUAGGUCCACUGAAAAUAGUUGAUACUUUACUUGUAUAAGUGGAGUCGCGAUUCCAAAAUGUGCACUUUAAUAAUGAACUGGAUUCUCAAUCUUCUUAUUAGUCAUCUUAAUGUUUAAGUAGUUUUGCAGUUUCGGAAAUUGAGUUUGUUACUCAUAAAAAUUUGCGUUGUUAAAUAGUCCUUUCCAAUGUUCUUUCUUUAGUUAAAACAUUUAGACAAGAUUUUCUAUUUGUAUUCUCGCUGAUACUAAUAAGAGGCGCAAGUCCAUGGUCGCAUCUAGAGUGUGUCUACCCACAAAUGACACCACUGUGGUGUCAAUAAUUUUUAAGGCCACUUAUUCGGUUAGCUUUGGCGUCGAUUAUGUAUAUACUGUCAAAAUUUAAAUUGUAUCAACUGUAAUCGUAUACAAAUAUUCUUAUAGUUUUAACAAUUAAAGGAAGCAUCACUUAAUAAACACACAUAAAAGUGUUUCAAUAAAAGAUUUUUGAAGAUCGCGAGUCUAACAAUGCAUAAACUUUUAAUAUGUGUAAAAUUGUUGGCGUUGAUCGUGACGCGUAAUCCGUACAAUGUAGACGUAGUCCCUGUAAGACGUAACGUAGAACGUAUGACGCAAUUAGCAUAAAUGUUCAUUGUUUGGUCCUAAAAUUUUGCGAGUUAAAUUGCUACUUCGGUCAUAAAAUGUAAUUCGUAUAACGCAGAACGUAGUCCGUCAAUCGUAUAACGUAGACCGUAUAACGCAUUAGCAAAGAUACGUAUGACGUCAAACGAAACGCAAAAACGUAGAGCGUAGAACGUAAGUCAUACCAUGGUUAACGUAGCAAUUCGUUGAAACUUAAUACAUAUUGUAAACCGCAAAUUGCAGAAAUACGUUUAACAUAAAACGCAUCGGUAUCGUUGCAUAAAACGUAAGCCCGUAAGCGUGAAA